rfam:Danio rerio chromosome 20, GRCz11 reference primary assembly.
UUCAGAAUGGCCGAGUGGUCUAAGGCGCCAGACUCAAGGUGUUUCAACUUUCUCAGGUAAUGAGAAUUCUGGUCUCUAGCUAGAGGAGUGGGUUUAAAUCCCACUUCUUACA